UGAGGAAUAUUGGUCAAUGGACGGAAGUCUGAACCAGCCAAGUAGCGUGCAGGAUGACGGCCCUAUGGGUUGUAAACUGCUUUUGUAUGGGGAUAAAGUUAGGGACGUGUCCCUAUUUGCAGGUACCAUACGAAUAAGGACCGGCUAAUUCCGUGCCAGCAGCCGCGGUAAUACGGAAGGUCCAGGCGUUAUCCGGAUUUAUUGGGUUUAAAGGGAGCGUAGGCUGGAGAUUAAGUGUGUUGUGAAAUGUAGACGCUCAACGUCUGAAUUGCAGCGCAUACUGGUUUCCUUGAGUACGCACAACGUUGGCGGAAUUCGUCGUGUAGCGGUGAAAUGCUUAGAUAUGACGAAGAACUCCGAUUGCGAAGGCAGCUGACGGGAGCGCAACUGACGCUUAAGCUCGAAGGUGCGGGUAUCAAACAGGAUUAGAUAUCCUGGUAGUCCGCACAGUAAACGAUGGAUGCCCGCUGUUGGUACCUGGUAUCAGCGGCUAAGCGAAAGCAUUAAGCAUCCCACCUGGGGAGUACGCCGGCAACGGUG
rnacentral:rRNA from 1 species